rnacentral:rRNA from 1 species
UGACUCUGGCCUAAAUCAGUAG